AAAUAAAAUAAAAAUAAUAAUAAUAAUAAAAAAGAAAAAUUGAAAAAAGAAAAAGACCUUUCCAUAUUUACUUCUCUCCCUUUAAUAUACAACACACAGUAAAAUAUACAUUACAAAGAAGCAUUGAUAUUAUUGACAUUGAACAAAGUAUAAAAGAUUUUAAGGCUUUGGCAUUAUUGAAGAUCUAAGUUACAUUUCAGGUCUUUACAACAAAAAAUAAUAAAAAGAAGUUUCACAGAAAAAAAAAAAAGUUUAAAAAUUGUCCAGAAAAAUAAAUCGAUUUAUUAGGAAAUAUUUGUCUUCUAUAAAAACCAAAUAACACAUCUUUAAACACCAAAGAAAAAAAAAACACAAAUAAGUAACUCACAGCUACAACAGACAUUAACAACAACACAAAAAUGAUGAAGAACCAGGAAAAUGGUUACACAAAAGAGGUUAUGUGCAUUUCUUCACUCAUACACAUUCUCAAUGGUAACUGAAAAUAAAUAAAGUGAAUAGUGAUUAAUAAUAAGCUCGGGAGGAGACGGUAAAGGGGGCUGUAAGAGGCCACUAAAAAUCUACAAUUUUUAUCAUUUAGAAACAUAAAUAUAUUUGUAUAAAGUCUUAUAUAAGAAAUAAUAUUAAAAAAACUCCCAUCUAUCUAUAUUUUGUGCUCUCCGUCCAAUUCAGUACAUAACUGAACUCACACAAUGAAACAUAACUCUGUGGUCCCAAUAUGACAGUUUUCAUAUUUUGUACUUGUGCAUUAAAGGGGUCAUAUGAUGCUGCUAAAAAGAACAUUAUUUUGUGUAUUUGGUGUGUGGAAUUACAAAUAUUUAAAAUCUUAAAUCUAGGUUCCAAUGUAAUAGUUUAUAAACUAAAAAAGUUAUGUACAUUGUGUUUUACAUUUUGAGGUAAAAAAAGGAUCAAAUCAGGAAGCCCAGGUGUCUGAGAUAAUGAUCUUUUGUCUUUGUGCUCUUCCUUGCCAUUUGGCUUUUUAAGACUGAUUGGAUUAGCACCUAUGCAUUUGAAGGACACUGUUAUGCUGAUGAGAUCAGCGAUGGGGAAACUCCUGUAACAGGAGUUUCCUGUACUGCAUUUGCAUGCUUUGCUUAGAUGGUCUCCACCUCUAUGUAUGCCUCCCCCUUGAAAUGUAUAUAAACCACAAUGUAUCAAUGACUAGUUAGACUUUUGAUGACUUCAGCGCCAUCCAGCGCGUUCUCAAUAAAGAAUUCUGCUGAAGAUUACCCAAGAGUCUCCUGGUCUUCACUUUUGAGUUUCCAACAGGUGUAAUGAAAUGUGUUUAUGCGGUUUAAGGUUUAAAAAAACACAUUAUUUUCCACAUACUGUACAUUAUUGUUUCUCCUCUAUGCCCCGCCUUCUGAAACGUGUCGAUUUUCACAAAGCUUAUCACUCUGAAAAGCGAGGUGUGCUGUGAUUGGCCAGCUAUCCAGUGCGUUGUUAUUGGCCGAAUGCCUCAAGGAUGUGACGGAAAUGCUACACCCCUCACCAUACUGUGAUGCCCUGUCCGGCCGGAGCGAAGAGACGUAAACAUAAAACCCAUUAUAAACGUGAUAUAAACAUGAUUUCUAGUCGUGUUUACUUUUGGAAGGCCAAACAAAGUAGUUUUGCUUUCUCAACGAAACAACGUCACACACUGCAGCCUUGAGUGAGUGAAGACUGGAGGCCUAGAGUGAGCGGAGGCUGGAGGUCUAGAGUGAGCGGAGGUCAGAGGUCUAGAGUGAGCCGCGGUCUAGCGUGAGCGGAGGCUGCAGGUCUAGAGUGAGCCGUGGUCUAGAGUGAGCGGAGGCUGGAGGUCUAGAGUGAGCAGCGGUCUAGAGUGAGCGCAGGCUGGAGGUCUAGAGUGAGCCGCGGUCUAGAGUGAGCGGAGGCUGCAGGUCUAGAGUGAGCGGAGGCUGGAGGUCUAGAGUGAGCCGCGGUCUAGAGUGAGCGGAGGCUGGAGGUCUAGAGUGAGCCGCGGUCUAGAGUGAGCGGAGGCUGGAGGUCUAGAGUGAGCCGCGGUCUAGAGUGAGCGGAGGCUGGAGGUCUAGAGUGAGCCGCGGUCUAGAGUGAGCGGAGGCUGGAGGUCUAGAGUGAGCCGCGGCUGGAGGUCUAGAGUGAGCGGAGGCUGCAGGUCUAGAGUGAGCAGAGGCUGGUGGCUUGAGAACGGUGCGGCAGGCAGAUUCUACGAAGGAGCGUACCUUGGUCUUGCAGCAACCACAUGUGAUGACCCUGGGCUGGACGCCGCUUCGUACAUGGUGAAAGCUGAUCCUGCGAUCCACAGUGCAAAGUUGAUGUAUAUCCUCAGCGACCAGCACGGAUCAGCUCCAGGCAUAACGAAGCGGAUAUCGUCCUCUUUUGGAAGUAGUUUUGCUUUCACAUGAAACACACAGCGUCUAUACGACAUGGCGGCGGCGGCGGCAACAACAAUACUACAACGAGAAUAAAAGCUACACCUUCUUUCUUUGUGUGAACAUCUAGGCCCGUGUUAUGCAAAUCUUCACACAUACUGACGUAGAGAUGUGGGGCGUGUUAGAACAAGCCGUUUCAGGGGGGCGUGGACGAGUGUUAACUUUUAAAAGAAUAUCUCUUUGGGUUUGAGACUUUAGUCUUUGCAGCUUUACAGAUCUUCUUUAUGCACCAAGAGCUUGUAACACUCCAAAGAGAAAGGAAAAUUUGAAAUCGCAUCAUGUGACCUCUUUAAACAGGCAGCUUCCAGUAACAUGAAUGACACUCUAACAAUCAUGUUCAUGUGUUUAAAUGGAGUCAGUGUUUUAAUUAUUAGGAUGACUGUAAUCGUUCAAUCUCAGGUUUUUACAGUUCAUAGGUCACUUCUCCAGAAUAAAAAGGACAAGUUGAAUGCUUUUGGUCACUCUCCUGUACGGGCUUGCUAUCUGUAGUUUCCACUGUGGGUGAUGCCUUCUUCUUACAGCAGAAAAGAAGAAGACGAAAGCAAAUGAAGAGUGAGAAACAAAUAAAGAGUGAGAAAGAUGAG
ensembl:lncRNA